AUUGAACGCUGGCGGCAGGCCUGACACAUGCAGGUCGAGCGGAUGAAGGGAGCUUGCUCCUGGAUUCAGCGGCGGACGGGUGAGUAAUGCCUAGGAAUCUGCCUGGUAGUGGGGGAUAACGUCCGGAAACGGGCGCUAAUACCGCAUACGUCCUGAGGGAGAAAGUGGGGGAUCUUCGGACCUCACGCUAUCAGAUGAGCCUAGGUCGGAUUAGCUAGUUGGUGGGGUAAAGGCCUACCAAGGCGACGAUCCGUAACUGGUCUGAGAGGAUGAUCAGUCACACUGGAACUGAGACACGGUCCAGACUCCUACGGGAGGCAGCAGUGGGGAAUAUUGGACAAUGGGCGAAAGCCUGAUCCAGCCAUGCCGCGUGUGUGAAGAAGGUCUUCGGAUUGUAAAGCACUUUAAGUUGGGAGGAAGGGCAGUAAGUUAAUACCUUGCUGUUUUGACGUUACCAACAGAAUAAGCACCGGCUAACUUCGUG
rnacentral:rRNA from 1 species